CCUACGGGGUGCAGCAGUGAGGAAUAUUGGUCAAUGGCCGGAAGGCUGAACCAGCCAUGCCGCGUGAAGGUCAGUGCCCUAUGGGCGUUAAACUUCUUUUGUGCGGGAGCAAUAAUGGUCACGUGUGGCCAGACGAGAGUACCGUACGAAUAAGCAUCGGCUAACUCCGUGCCAGCAGCCGCGGUAAUACGGGGGAUGCAAGCGUUAUCCGGCAUUAUUGGGUUUAAAGGGUGCGUAGGCUGUGAGGUAAGUCAGUGGUGAAAUGCCCCCGCUCAACGGGGUGAAGUGCCAUUGAUACUGCCAUGCUGGAGUGCGGAUGACGUAGGAGGAAUGUGUGGUGUAGCGGUGAAAUGCAUAGAUAUCACACAGAACACCGAUUGCGAAGGCAUCUCACGAAUCCGCGAUUGACGCUGAUGCACGAAAGCGUGGGUAUCAAACAGGAUUAGAUACCCGUGUAGUC
rnacentral:rRNA from 1 species